AUCUUUCGAUUUGCUCAUAUUCAGUCUAUCUAUUAACUUUCCAUUAAUUCUGUUGAAAAAUUAGGUAUAAUAAAAAAUUUAGUCCCACAACUUUUAUAAUUUUUAUCAAUUUGACCCCUAUUUGAUUACAACACAGCAUAAUAGUAGGACAAUUCCCUAUUUGAUUUCACUAAACAAAAACACUCAUUCUCCAAAAACCCAAC
rnacentral:lncRNA from 1 species